CCUACGGGAGGCAGCAGUGGGGGAUAUUGCACAAUGGGGGAAACUCUGAUGCAGCGACGCCGCGUGCGUGAAGAAGUAUUUCGGAAUGUAAAGCUGUAUUAGUAGGGAAGAAAAUGACAGUACCUGAACACGAAGCCACGGAGAACUACGAGACAGCAGCGGCGGUACUACGUAGGAAGCAAGCGUUAUCCGGAUUUACUGGGUGUAAAGGGAGCGUAGACGGUUUUGUAAGUCAGAAGUGAAAGCCCCGGGCUCAACCCCGGGACUGCUUUGGAUACUGUGUAACUGGAGUACAGGUGGGGUAGGCGGAAUGUCUGGUGUAGCGGUGAAAUGCUUAGAGAUCAUACAGAACACCGACGGCGAAGGCAGCCUGCUAAACUAAAACUGACGUUGAGGCCCGAAAGCGUGGGGAGCAAACAGGAUUAGAUACCCGAGUAGUC
rnacentral:rRNA from 1 species